AAAAGGAUAAUCAUUGUUAGGGUUCCUGAUCCCUGAUCCAUCCGUCCACCCGACCGCCGCCGCCGCCGACCACGAUCGCCUCCGCUUCCCUGUUCUCUCGGCGCUCUCGUUCGCGUUCAUCGACGUCGGCGGUCCGUCCACGCGCGCGCUCGUUGGCACCGGCAGCAACCUCCCCUCGCCGUCGCCGCCGAUUCAAUUCUCAUCCCCAGUCUCCGAUGCCCAACAGGCGAUUUGAUCUGCGGCACCCGUCGCCGCCCGUGUGGCCUGCCCCCUCCCCUCGCCCGUCGCCGCCGUCGCGAUCCUGCCCUUCCCGCCCGUCCUGACUCGGCCGUCGUCGCCGAGCUGCCGCGGUCGUCCCCAGAGGCAGGAAGCGCGUCUACUUCUCGUCCAAUUCCGGUGAGUUUGCCCUACAUUCCUGCUACCAAUUUAUUCACCAGACGCCGAUUUGGCAAUUUGGCACGAUGAUUUGUACUGGAAUGUACUCGUAGAAGAUUCUUCACUGAUGAUAUUAUCUCACCUCUGUGGAAGGAUUAUGUUCAGAUCAUGAUAACAUCUCAAUUGUCUGUGCCCACUGUCCUGAUCCUUUUUUUAGGUGCAUGAUAUUGAGUGGAACACAGAAAGGGGAACCUUUCUGCUCUGGUGAGCAUGAUAUUGUUUUAUGGAAUGAUAACAUCAUGAUCCCAGCAGCAUAUUUUGUAGUUUGUUCUAAACAUUUGGUUUAGAAAAAUGCUAUCUGAAAGAACUGAUUUAGAGCAUUAAAGAAUUAAACCAAGGGUCUAUCAUUGUAGAUAUUGCAUAAUGGAGUGGACCUAACCAAGGAGACAAUUCAAACAUACUAAUAUUUGGUUCAUGACAUCAGAUAUUGCGGUUCAAUCCAUUGCAUUAUUUUAUUGCCUCAUUAUUUCAGGAAAUUCAGUUCUACUGCUACUACUCCGCCUGACCGUGCAGACUUUUUUUGUUUUUUUCACCUGUUAACCAUUCUACUCAGCUUGUUACUGAGAUAUUAUGUUGAACUUGUGAAAAGUGUGAACCUAUGUAGUUAACUUGUUACGGAGAGGAAGGUUUCUGAUAAAGGCAUGGGAAUACAUCUAUUCUGAAAUAGAGAAGUACUUGUUUUGUUUUGAUAGCUUCAGCUAAGUCAUCAAGACCUGAUUUUGGCCCGAAUGUCAUAAUGAGGUUUAAGCUUCACUUAGUGAAAGAAAUUUAUCCGGAUCUACGAGGAGACGCACUGUUGUACUACCUCAAACCUGCUCCUGGGAGUCGACCAUCAACUGCAUUGGUAGAAAUUAAUGAACAAGAAGAUGUAGCCAAAAUGCUAGAUGCGCAUGCUCAAGAAAGUACAAAAAUUUGUCAUCUCUACAUAGUGAAUGCAGCUGGACUUCAUUAUGAGGAUGGCUAUGCGUGGCGGUCCGAUGACGAAGACCUUGAAUGGCAGUCUGAUGAGGAUGACUACCCAUUGGACCGCGAUGAGUGUGACUGCCCAUUGGACCGCGAUGAGGAUGUGCGUCAACAAGACGACAGGAUGUCUCCUGUGAUGAAGAAACAACGCGCUGAUUAGGUUCUCAUGAUCAUUUCUGAGGUGGAUGGACGCCCUCGCCCUUGAUGCCAGCUUAUCCAAUAACUCAACAUGUGGGAAGAUGCAAUAGCAGGGUUGUGUGCCAUGUCCAAGUUUAUUCAGCCUGCUAGUUGUCAUUUAUUCAAAGACACAGUCCAGUAUUGUUCAGUCUGCUAUUUGUCUUUUAUAGAUGUUCAGUUCUUAUUUAUCAUGGAGUCGUGAACCUUGCAAUCUUUCAUGAUUAUUCAUACUGAACAGCUCUAUUGGUGGGAAGACCGGAAGAUGCAAUAGCAGCGUCGUGUGCGAUGUCCAAGUUUUAAUAUUUAUAAAACAGUUAUAGAUGUUCAGUUUGCUAGUCGUCAUUUAUUCAGAGAUAGAAACUCCAGUAUUGUCCAGUCCGCUUUUUGCCUCUUAUAUAUGUUCACCUCUUUUUAUCAUGGGAUCGUGGACCUCUUUAUAUCAGUGUGCUUGUAGAUGAACAUGUGAGGAUUACAUGGUUUGUCAUUUAGGUGCAAUAAUGGCAUCAAAAGUGCCCGUUUGAAUCU